rnacentral:rRNA from 1 species
GAUGAACGCUGGCGGCGUGCCUAAUACAUGCAAGUCGAGCGAACAGACGAGGAGCUUGCUCCUCUGACGUUAGCGGCGGACGGGUGAGUAACACGUGGAUAACCUACCUAUAAGACUGGGAUAACUUCGGGAAACCGGAGCUAAUACCGGAUAAUAUAUUGAACCGCAUGGUUCAAUAGUGAAAGACGGUUUUGCUGUCACUUAUAGAUGGAUCCGCGCCGCAUUAGCUAGUUGGUAAGGUAACGGCUUACCAAGGCGACGAUGCGUAGCCAACCUGAGAGGAUGAUCGGCCACACUGGAACUGAGACACGGUCCAGACUCCUACGGGAGGCAGCAGUAGGGAAUCUUCCGCAAUGGGCGAAAGCCUGACGGAGCAACGCCGCGUGAGUGAUGAAGGUCUUCGGAUCGUAAAACUCUGUUAUUAGGGAAGAACAAAUGUGUAAGUAACUAUGCACGUCUUGACGGUACCUAAUCAGAAAGCCACGGCUAACUACGUG